rnacentral:lncRNA from 1 species
UUUUAUUUUUUUUAAUGCCGCUUUUUUGCCCAAGAAGCCACCAAAAUCCCGGGAUUUGAGAUGGAGACCAAAAGAAAUCCAAAAGAUUUAAGGAGCGAGGAGAGCCGAGGAGGAGGAGGAAAAAAUUCCACCUCCCUCCCCAAACCUCUGUUUUCCUGAAGUUUUUCUCUUUUUCUGCAGAUCUGGAGGGAAAAAAAAUCUGCCAAAAAAAUUGGGAAAGGAGCAGGUGACAAAGAGCUCCGUCACCAGGAAGAGCCUCCGGUGAUCCAGGGCCUUUCCAAAGGGAUCAGCGUCAUCCCGGUUCCUCUCCCCACGGAUUUCUUGGAGCUUUGCACUUUGGAAAUGUCACCGGAGCUGCCCAGGGUUGAUUUUCUGGGAAAGGUCACCCUGGUGAUCCAUCAAAAAGCGACUUUUGCCUUCUAUUCCAGAAAAAAGUGGAAAUCUUGAGUUGUCCCGACUGGGGAAAGAAAUGGUUGGUGGUUUAUAACAAUUAUUUGGGAAUUCUCACCCUUUGGAGCGGAGUUUUCCGGGUUUCCGGGAUAGGAUGAGCUCCUGCUUUCAUUUAUCCAACUGGACAAAAUUCCUUUGGAUCCUAAAAUGUCAGGAAUGUGCUGUGGGAAAACGCUGAUUCCUGGGAAACUGCUCCAAGGUUAUUUUGCCUAAUUCCAAACCAUGGGAAGAGGAAGGGAAACUUUCCCGGAGCAUCCAGGAAUGCUGUGAAUGUUCCAUCCCUCUUUUCAAACAGGCCUGGGAGCACAAAGCCUUCAGGCUUGGAUUUGGGAUUGCCCAAACUCAUGGAAAAGCAGGAAAAUCCAUGGAAAAUCUACACCUGGCACACAAAAAGGAAUUCCCAAGUUUCCUCCAGGAGAAAUCCAUGCGAAGGAUCUGGGAGAGUUUAAUUCCAGAGCACCAUUCAUUGUGCUUUGAACACCCGGGGUGGGGCCCAAUCCUGGAUGAGAAAAGGAAGGAAUUAAUCCAAUUUAUCCGGCUCUAAUUAAUCCCGGUUUUCCUCAGGAAAAGUGGGAAGAAGCCCUUUGUCCCCCUCAUUAACCACAGCGCCCGUUCCACACAAAUUCCCUGAAGUCUUCCCAGGAGCUAAAAAAACAUGGAAAAACCCCCCAAAAAUGUAAAAUAUUGGAAUUUAUUUUUUUGGUCUGAUUUUCUGGGAUUUUUAAUCCCAAAAAAUAAUUCUUGGAGCAAAGGAGAGAUAAUUGGAUCUGGCUCCUGGUUCCUCCUGUUCUUCUGGAAUUCUGGAAUUCUUUGGAGCUCCUGGCAGUAGAGGGAUGUUCUCUCAUUCCAACCACGCUUCCAGGGAUUAAAUCUGGGAGAAAUCCUUUUAGGACUCUCCAUUCCAGAAGGAAAGGGAUAAAAUCCAGGAUGGAAAUGAAGAAUGGAAUUACUAUAAGUAAUAAUUAAUUCUACAGCGGAUUUAAUAUUAAAUAAUCCAAACUAUCCAUCCUAUUUCCGGCAAAAAAGCCGGAAAAAACUCGGACACCGCAUCAGCC